AUACGGAGGGUGCAAGCGUUGUCCGGAUUUAUUGGGUUUAAAGGGUGCGUAGGCGGAUAAUUAAGUCAGUGGUGAAAGACUGCAGCUCAACUGUAGAGGUGCCAUUGAUACUGAUUAUCUUGAGUACAGUUGAGGUAGGCGGAAUUUAUGGUGUAGCGGUGAAAUGCAUAGAUACCAUAAAGAACACCGAUAGCGAAGGCAGCUUACUGGACUGUAACUGACGCUGAGGCACGAAAGCGUGCGGAGCGAACGGGAUUAGAAACCCCGGUAGUCC
rnacentral:rRNA from 1 species